UACGGAGGAUGCAAGCGUUAUCCGGAAUUAUUGGGCGUAAAGCGUCCGCAGGUGGCACUUCAAGUCUGCUGUCAAAGACCGGGGCUUAACCCUGGAAAGGCAGUGGAAACUGAAGCGCUAGAGUGUGGCAGGGGUAGAGGGAAUUCCCGGUGUAGCGGUGAAAUGCAUUGAGAUCGGAAAGAACACCAACGGCGAAAGCACUGACACUGAGAGACGAAAGCUAGGGGAGCAAAUGGG
rnacentral:rRNA from 1 species